rnacentral:rRNA from 1 species
UACAACUUGUACAGGAUAGGUAGGAGCCGUAGAAGUCGGAACGCUAGUUUCGAUGGAGGCAUUGGUGGGAUACUACCCUCGUUGUAUGAACACUCUAACCCUCGCCGGCAAUCACGGCGGGGGGCAGGGGCAGGGGGGGCGGUUGCCCGGGGGGGUCGCCCCCCAAAAGGGAAAGGCGGGGGCCCCAGGGUCCCUUGCGAAGGGUGGGGAGUCCUCGCCGGGGGGGAAGGGCGAAAGGUGCGUUACUG